rnacentral:rRNA from 1 species
CCUACGGGAGACAGCAGUAGGGAAUAUUGCUCAAUGGGGGAAACCCUGAAGCAGCAACGCCGCGUGGAGGAUGAAGGUUUUCGGAUUGUAAACUCCUUUUGUUAGAGAAGAUAAUGACGGUAUCUAAUGAAUAAGCACCGGCUAACUCCGUGCCAGCAGCCGCGGUAAUACGGAGGGUGCAAGCGUUACUCGGAAUCACUGGGCGUAAAGAGCGCGUAGGCGGGAUAGCAAGUCAGAUGUGAAAUCCUAUGGCUUAACCAUAGAACUGCAUUUGAAACUGUUAUUCUAGAGUAUGGGAGAGGUAAGUGGAAUGCUUGGUGUAGGGGUAAAAUCCGUAGAGAUCAAGAGGAAUACUCAUUGCGAAGGCGACCUGCUAGAACAUAACUGACGCUGAUGCGCGAAAGCGUGGGGAGCGAAAGGGAUUAGAUACCCUUGUAGUC